ACGGGUGAGUAACGCGUGGGAAUCUACCCAUCUCUACGGAAUAACGCAUGGAAACGUGUGCUAAUACCGUAUACGUCCUUCGGGAGAAAGAUUUAUCGGAGAUGGAUGAGCCCGCGUUGGAUUAGCUAGUUGGUGGGGUAAAGGCCUACCAAGGCGACGAUCCAUAGCUGGUCUGAGAGGAUGAUCAGCCACACUGGGACUGAGACACGGCCCAGACUCCUACGGGAGGCAGCAGUGGGGAAUGUUGGACAAUGGGCGCAAGCCUGAUCCAGCCAUGCCGCGUGAGUGAUGAAGGCCCUAGGGUUGUAAAGCUCUUUCACCGGUGAAGAUAAUGACGGUAACCGGAGAAGAAGCCCCGGCUAACUUCGUGCCAGCAGCCGCGGUAAUACGAAGGGGGCUAGCGUUGUUCGGAUUUACUGGGCGUAAAGCGCACGUAGGCGGACUAUUAAGUCAGGGGUGAAAUCCCGGGGCUCAACCCCGGAACUGCCUUUGAUACUGGUAGUCUUGAGUUCGAGAGAGGUGAGUGGAAUUCCGAGUGUAGAGGUGAAAUUCGUAGA
rnacentral:rRNA from 1 species